GCUCAAAGCUAAAGCAAAUUUCCUCCUCCUUUGGCGUUGACUUUUCUACUCAUGGAAUUUGAUCAGUCUCACAAAUCCAGGUAACAUUUGAUUUCCAGAUCCUUAAGUAAUAGCUUCUCCUUUUGGCAAUCAAAUCUUGCACCACAUUGAGUUCUCUUGAGAUAUCUUCUUCAAAAUGAUUGCCAAAUUCAGUCCUCAAUCCCUUAUGCUCAUAUUUCAGCCAUGAACAAACCUUUAUCAUCAUGCCCUCUUUCUUCACCCAAACUUUCAAUCUUCUUCCUAACCCUGUUUGUCAUUCUCUUGAUUUUCCUCCAAAUCCGGUCCCUAAAUACACCUCCCAUCCCCUCAUUUCCGUUGGCACGACAGUGGGAGAAAAUAGUCACCAACUCCUGCCUUCCUACUUUAAAUGACACUGCCGAUAAACUCCGAGAGUCCAUCACCUUUCUUCCUCUAAAGGAUCUGAGGUAUGCCAAUGUGGCCAUGAAAGGUCACACAUGGUUCAUGAGCUCCAUGUAUGACUCUCAUGAAGAGGGUGAGGUGCAGUACCAGCAGUUCCCAUCAAAGGCCUCUAACGGCCGAGUUCUAUGUCUCAAGGGCCGGGAUGAACGAGAUGGCUCCUGGAACUCGUAUGCCCUUGCAUGGCCGGAUGCCCUGCCUGAAAAUGCCACACUGAUGAAAGGCAUCACCUUUGUGUCAUACAAUCACUAUGACUACUACAACAUAUGGCACGGCCUGUCGGCCAUGAUGCCAUUUGUUGCAUGGCAUAUAAAGAGCCAAUGUGCCGCGCCCAGGAGGUGGAUUCUAUACCACUGGGGCGAACUGAGGACAAAUAUGGCACCGUGGGUGGAGACCAUGUUGGAAGCCACCUUUGGUGCACCACUUGAUAUCGGAAAAUUCGAUGAUAUUUACAGCCACCAUAACAGGUCCAGUGACUAUGAUGAUGAUGAUGCAACUUGCUUAGAGGAGGCAGUUGUAAUGAGGCACAAUGAAGGCGGAAUGUCGAGGGCGAAGAGAAUGGAGGUGUAUGAUCUGAUGAGGUGCAAAUCCAGGAUGUACUGCAAUGUGAGUUCCAGUUCCAGUUCCAAGCAGCAGCAGCAGCAGGGGUUCCACAUUGGGAUGACCUUGCUGAUGAGAAACGGCCCUCGAUCCUUCAAGAAUGCAUCGGCAGUGAUCAGUGUCUUUGAGAAGGAGUGCCGCAAGGUGCAGGGCUGCCGGUUGAUGGUGGCCUAUCCCCACAACCUCACCUUCUGCGAUCAGGUGAAGCUUAUGAGCUCAACAGACAUUCUUGUAUCGUCGCACGGUGCGCAGCUGAGCAACAUGAUCCUGAUGGACAGGGAUAGCAGCGUUAUGGAAUUCUUCCCCAAGGGGUGGCUGGAACUUGCGGGGGUGGGGCAGUACGUGCACCACUGGCUUGCCAGCUGGUCUGGGAUGGUGCAUGAGGGUGCCUGGCGAGACCCCGAGGGGGAGCACUGCCCCUUCCCGGACAAGGACCGGCGGUGCAUGUCUGUGUACAAGAAUGGUAAGAUCGGACACAAUGAAACUUACUUCUCUGAGUGGGCAAAAAGAGUGCUGAAUGGAGUGGAGCUGAGGAAGAAGAGGGGACUAGCGGCACUGCAAAACAGUCCUGUUUCUGGCCUCUGUGGCUGCAACUGAUGAUUUGUUAAUGAUGGAUGAAUCAAAACCGUUGAUUGUGUGGGGUCAGCAGCACCGUUAAUGGUCUGGAUCUACUUACUUGCCCCAGAGUUUCUGGACUGCCUGACUGACUGAUUACGACUGACACUUUUUUGGGCAUUUUCUGCAUUCUCCGUGGCACAUGGCCAACAUUGAAUUUAGCAAUGCCUAUCACCUUCAUACUAAUGGCCAAACUGAGGUAGUUAGCCGUUCUUUGGGAAAUUUGUUUCGUUGUUUGUUUAGGGAUAACUUGAAGACUUGGGAUCUAAAAUCAUGUAUUAUCGAGUUUUCUCAUAAUUAGGCUUUGAAUCGUAGCACAGAUUUCUCCCCUUUUGUGGUGGUUUAUGGCUUCGUGCCCCAUGCUCCAUUGUUCUACUCAAUUUUCCAUCCACCCUUCCUGCUAAUAAAUGUGUCGUCGAUCUCAUCAAGAAGAUCCAACAGAUUCAUGCUACAACACAUGCCCGCUUGAAAGCUUCAAACUCUAAGUAUAAAGAUGUUGCUGAUGAAAAGUGACACAAUAUUAAGUUUGAAGUUGGUAAUUUUGUUUGGGCUAUCCUUGCUAAGGACCGCUUUCAUGCCCAAAAGAAUAGUAAGUUGGCAUCUCGAAAAAUAAACUAUUGAAAUCACGGAGAAAAUUAAUCCUUCGCCUUAUGGAUCAUAUUUGCAUCUCUGACAUAUUCAAUUUUAAGCACCUAGUCCCUUACUACGGCGAUAACUCCGAUGGAGAUGAAGUUGUGUUCGAUUCGAGGGUGAAUCGUUUUGAAGAGAAGGAUAAUGAUGAAGAUGUCACUCAAUACUUGAAAAAGAUCGAUCCAAUUAUUUAGUACUUUAAUCUUUUAUUUUAUUAUAGACCCAAAUAUAUUGGAUUUUUGUUAUUGGCCUUAUUUGCUUUUCCCUUAGUAUUUAUAGUUGGAAGAUCGAUAAUAGUUUAUCCCAUUUGAGUCAAAAUUCUUCGUUAAUGUAUGUGCUUCCCUCCAUCAUUUUGCAAUCAAGGAGCAGAUAGGAUUUGUUUCUUUAGGGGCUUUAGUGUAUUGUUUGUUGAGAUGAAGUUGGAUGCUGUAAAUUAUCCACAACUUUCUUGUAAAUUAAUU